GUCUGGCCUAACGAUGAAUACUUGGUGUCUGGAGUCUAUAUGCUCCGGGUGCCGUCGCUAACGUUUUAGUUAUUCCGCCUGGGGAGUACGCUCGCAAGAGUGAAACUCAAAGGAAUUGACGGGGACCCCGCACAAGCGGUGGAGCAUGUGGUUUAAUUCGACGCAACGCGAAGAACCUUACCUAGGCUAGAAUGUGAGGGAAGAGAGGGUAAUUCCGAUCGCCAGUUUACUGGCCCAAACAAGGUGCUGCAUGGCUGUCGU
rnacentral:rRNA from 1 species